ensembl:misc_RNA Metazoa_SRP Metazoan signal recognition particle RNA
GUCAGGCUCAGUGGCCUGAGUCUAUAGUCCCAGCUACUCAGGAGGCUGAGGCAGGAGGAUCACUUGAGCCCAGGAGUUCAGGGCUGUAGUAUGCUAUAAUCAUGCCUGUGAAUGGACUGCACUCCAGCCUGGGCAACACAGAGAGACCCUGUCUCAA